UACGUAGGGGGCAAGCGUUGUCCGGAUUUAUUGGGCGUAAAGGGCGUGCAGGCGGCCGUUUAAGUCAGAUGUGUAAGCCCUCGGCUCAACCGAGGAGUUGCAUCUGAAACUGGAUGGCUUGAGUGCAGGAGAGGGGAGUGGAAUUCUCGGUGUAGCGGUGGAAUGCGUAGAUAUCGGGAGGAACACCAGUGGCGAAGGCGACUCUCUGGCCUGUAACUGACGCUGAGACGCGAAAGCGUGGGGAGCGAACAGG
rnacentral:rRNA from 1 species